GAGAAAAUAGAGUUGUAAGAAAAUCUUCAAACAAAGAUGGCAAAGCUCAUUUGCCAGUCUCUUCUAUUGGGGCUUUUUUGCAUUGUGUUGGUCACUGUUUCAGUUUUAUAAUAUGUAAUCAAGAGCAAUGGAGCAUUCGAUCAGUCUCAAAUAAAUAGAAUCUAUGGGAAGCUGAAAUAAAUAAGCGAUUAUGCAGUAACAAAUUGGGAGUAAGAGUUGUUUCCAUUUGAAUAUUAUGUAUUGUACUCUUAGUAAAUAAGAGUUAAUUAUAUAUCUCUAAAAUGUGAAAUAUCAAUAAAGUGGUCAACUUAUGAGAA